ACACUCCUGCGGGAGGCAGCAGUGGGGAAUAUUGGACAAUGGGCGCAAGCCUGAUCCAGCCAUGCCGCGUGAGUGAUGAAGGCCCUAGGGUUGUAAAGCUCUUUCACCGGUGAAGAUAAUGACGGUAACCGGAGAAGAAGCCCCGGCUAACUUCGUGCCAGCAGCCGCGGUAAUACGAAGGGGGCUAGCGUUGUUCGGAUUUACUGGGCGUAAAGCGCACGUAGGCGGACUAUUAAGUCAGGGGUGAAAUCCCGGGGCUCAACCCCGGAACUGCCUUUGAUCCUGGUAGUCUUGAGUUCGAGAGAGGUGAGUGGAAUUCCGAGUGUAGAGGUGAAAUUCGUAGAUAUUCGGAGGAACACCAGUGGCGAAGGCGGCUCACUGGCUCGAUACUGACGCUGAGGUGCGAAAGCGUGGGGAGCAAACAGGAUUAGAAACCCGGGUAGUCCCAU
rnacentral:rRNA from 1 species